rnacentral:rRNA from 1 species
AAUAGCUCAAAUUUGAAAGCUGGCGUCUUCGACGUCCGCGUUGUGAUUUGUAGAGGAUGCUUCGGCGAAGACUCCUGCCUAAGUCCCCUGGAACGGGGCGUCAUAGAGGGUGAGAAUCCCGUAUGUGGCGGGCAGUCUAAGCCAUGUGAAGCUCCUUCGACGAGUCGAGUUGUUUGGGAAUGCAGCUCUAAAUGGGAGGUAAAUUUCUUCUAAAGCUAAAUAUUGGCCAGAGACCGAUAGCGCACAAGUAGAGUGAUCGAAAGAUGAAAAGCACUUUGGAAAGAGAGUUAAAAAGUACGUGAAAUUGUUGAAAGGGAAGCGCUUGCAACCAGACUCGCUCGUAGUUGCUCAGCCGGCCUCUUGGCCGGUGUACUCUUCUACGAUCGGGCCAGCAUCAGUUCGGGCGGCAGGAUAAAGGUGUCGGGAAUGUAGCACCCUUCGGGGUGUGUUAUAGCCCGGCGCGGAAUGCUGCCAGCCUGGACUGAGGAUCUCGCUUCGGCAAGGAUGCUGGCGUAAUGGUUGUAAGCGGCCCGUCUUGAAACACGGACCAAGGAGUCUAACAUCUAUGCGAGUGUUUGGGUGUCAAACCCAUGCGCGUAAUGAAAGUGAACGGAGGUGGGAACCCCUCACGGGGUGCACCAUCGACCGAUCCUGAUGUCUUCGGAUGGAUUUGAGUAAGAGCAUAGCUGUUGGGACCCGAAAGAUGGUGAACUAUGCCUGAAUAGGGUGAAGCCAGAGGAAACUCUGGUGGAGGCUCGCAGCGGUUCUGACGUGCAAAUCGAUCGUCAAAUUUGGGUAUAGGGGCGAAAGACUAAUCG